UACGUAGGUGGCAAGCGUUAUCCGGAUUUAUUGGGCGUAAAGGGAACGCAGGCGGUCUUUUAAGUCUGAUGUGAAAGCCUUCGGCUUAACCGGAGUAGUGCAUUGGAAACUGGGAGACUUGAGUGCAGAAGAGGAGAGUGGAACCCCAUGUGUAGCGGUGAAAUGCGUAGAUAUAUGGAAGAGCACCAGUGGCGAAAGCGGCUCUCUGGUCUGUAACUGACGCUGAGGUUCGAAAGCGUGGGUAGCAAACAGG
rnacentral:rRNA from 1 species